UGGCUCAGGACGAACGCUGGCGGCGUGCCUAAUACAUGCAAGUUGAACGAUGAUUUCUGGUACUUGUAUCAGAAUGAAGAGUAGCGAACGGGUGAGUAACGCGUGGGUAACCUACCUCUUAGCGGGGGACAACUAUUGGAAACGAUAGCUAAUACCGCAUAACAAUGCUUAACACAUGUUAAGGAUUUGAAAGUACCAAUUGGUACACUAGGAGAUGGACCCGCGUUGUAUUAGCUAGUUGGUAGUGUAAUGGACUACCAAGGCGAUGAUACAUAGCCGACCUGAGAGGGUGAUCGGCCACAUUGGGACUGAGACACGGCCCAAACUCCUACGGGAGGCAGCAGUAGGGAAUCUUCGGCAAUGGACGAAAGUCUGACCGAGCAACGCCGCGUGAGUGAAGAAGGUUUUCGGAUCGUAAAACUCUGUUGUUAGAGAAGAACGUUGUGUAGAGUGGAAAAUUACACAAGUGACGGUAUCUAACCAGAAAGGGACGGCUAACUACGUGCCAGCAGCCGCGGUAAUACGUAGGUCCCGAGCGUUGUCCGGAUUUAUUGGGCGUAAAGCGAGCGCAGGUGGUUUAAUAAGUCUGAUGUAAAAGGCAGUGGCUCAACCAUUGUGUGCAUUGGAAACUGUUAGACUUGAGUGCAGUAGAGGAGAGUGGAAUUCCAUGUGUAGCGGUGAAAUGCGUAGAUAUAUGGAGGAACACCGGUGGCGAAAGCGGCUCUCUGGACUGUAACUGACACUGAGGCUCGAAAGCGUGGGUAGCAAACAGGAUUAGAUACCCUGGUAGUCCACGCCGUAAACGAUGAGUGCUAGUUGUUUGGGGCUAUCCAGCCCUAAGUGACGCAGCAAACGCAUUAAGCACUCCGCCUGGGGAGUACGACCGCAAGGUUGAAACUCAAAGGAAUUGACGGGGGCCCGCACAAGCGGUGGAGCAUGUGGUUUAAUUCGAAGCAACGCGAAGAACCUUACCAGGUCUUGACAUACCAGUGCUAUUCUUAGAGAUAAGAAGUUACUUCGGUACACUGGAUACAGGUGGUGCAUGGUUGUCGUCAGCUCGUGUCGUGAGAUGUUGGGUUAAGUCCCGCAACGAGCGCAACCCCUAUUGUUAGUUGCCAUCAUUAAGUUGGGCACUCUAGCGAGACUGCCGGUAAUAAACCGGAGGAAGGUGGGGAUGACGUCAAAUCAUCAUGCCCCUUAUGACCUGGGCUACACACGUGCUACAAUGGUUGGUACAACGAG
rnacentral:rRNA from 1 species